GACGUAGGGUGCAAGCGUUGUCCGGAUUUAUUGGGCGUAAGGAGCUCGUAGGCGGCUUGUUGCGUCGACUGUGAAAACCCGCGGCUUAACCGCGGGCUUGCAGUUGAUACGGGCAGGCUAGAGUUCGGUAGGGGAGACUGGAAUUCCUGGUGUAGCGGUGAAAUGCGCAGAUAUCAGGAGGAACACCGGUGGCGAAGGCGGGUCUCUGGGCCGAUACUGACGCUGAGGAGCGAAAGCGUGGGGAGCGAACAGG
rnacentral:rRNA from 1 species